GGCUAGUCUGCAGGCUGUGAAUUAUCUCGACUGAUGGUUACAAACAGAACUUCUCGUUCUUCUCUUCCCUCUUCUCACUACUACACUUGACUAGUCUUAA
rnacentral:Y_RNA from 1 species